UGAGCAAUCUGCCCUCCUCUUUGGAAUAAGCGUUGGAAACGACGUCUAAUGCCGAAUACGACCUCCUUUCGCAUGAUCGGAGGUGGAAAGCUCCGGCGGAGAAGGAUGAGCUCGCGGCCUAUCAGCUAGUUGGUGGGGUAAUGGCCCACCAAGGCGACGACGGGUAGCCGGCCUGAGAGGGUGACCGGCCACACUGGGACUGAGACACGGCCCAGACUCCGUACGGGGGGCAG
rnacentral:rRNA from 1 species